rnacentral:rRNA from 1 species
UGAAGUUUUCUUUAAUUUUAAAAUUUGAUUAUGGUUUUAGAAUUUUUAAAAUGAUAUUAUCUAAUUAUGAUUUAUUUAGUGGGCAAUGAAAUUUCACCCCGGCAAUUAAUCGUUUGUAAAAGGCUUGUUCCAGAAUAAUCGGCUACACUAGUCAAGCUUGUACUUUUAUUGUUUUUUAUUAUAAAUUUUAUAAAUAUAAUUUUAAGAAUUUUAGGUAGAAUUAGAAUUUAUAUUAUAUAAUUGUUUAUAAUUUUAAAUUUCGUAAAACGAAUUAGAUUAGUACCUAAUUAGACGAAAAUAAAAAUAGCAGGAGUAAAGUUGUAUUUAAACUGAAAGAAUAUUGGCAGGUUUAUUAAAUUAUCUUUGGAGGUUGAGUAAUAAUUGAGAACCCUCAUUAACUACUUAAAUAUUAGACUCAUGUAUGAUCGUUUAUUUUAUUCUUAAGGAUUAAAAUUAUAAAUUUUUAAUUUAUAAAAAUAGAUAUUUACCUGGUUUAUAUUUUAAGUAAAAUUUGGCCUACAAUAAUGUAUAUUUUGGAUUUUGUGUGUAGUUACAUAAAUGAAAUUGUAAAAGACAGUAAGAAUAUUUUUAUGUUUUUCUGAAGAGUAUCUAAAAACGGUACAAAUCAUCCAUCAAUUGUCUAAAAGGGAGUAAGUUGUAGUAAAGUAGAUUUAGGGGAACCUUAAUCUAUUAAUGA